AAGAGCGGUGUUUACUAUAGUUAUGUAUUUUGAGGUAGUGUUGUGCAUUGCAACAUACAAAGGUGAUCAUUGCUGCUUAUUGGUCAGAAGAGGUGGUUUUCCAUUGUACUUUGUCCAGCAAAACAAGUAGUACUGCUCAGCCAAAUUCCCUCCUGGAGCAGUUUAGUUUGCAGCCACCCUGGGGUAAACAUGUGAGGGUGGAUGUAUGGGGGUGGCUGCUGGGCACUGAUGGUUUGAGCCAGGUGAAAAGCUAUAACAAAGAAAAAAGCUUCCAGAAAGAAGGUAUGCUCUGUACUGCGAUCUGAAUAUACAAUAAGGACAUCUUCAAGAAGUGUUCAGGAAAUGAAAUUAACAUUUUAUUUAUUUAUUUAUUUAUUUUAUUUAUUGUUUGCAGGAAACUGAAAACUUUCUUUUCUUGCUCUCCUUAAUUGGUAGGAGACAACUAUUUUAACAAUAAUAAUCUAUUACCAUUUAAAAAAUAUAUGAAUGCAAUUUUGUCCCCAUGCACCCCAAACAGUGCUCAGGGAAUGUCUCAGAUACUACGCAUUAAGAAUCUGGACUGUUGUCGGAAACCUAAACUAUUCUGAGUUAGACAAAUAUCCCCAUUUUAGAGAAAAAAGUAUCCUGAUGCACAACGAAUGAAUCCAGAACAAUUAAUCAUAGGACAUAUCUGGGGCCACAGCCAGAUCCUCUGACUCACAGUGCUUCCUUUUAGUUGAGUUUAAAAAAAAGAAAAACUGAUUUAUUUUUCAUAAUUACAUCACAUAAUUAUUUAUAAAAGUCGUGCGAAAGACCAGUUAAAAAGUUGAUGCAAACUUUCUCGAGGAGUUGUUUUUUAGUUUCAUCACAACACAUGUUUUUAAAACAUUAAUAUCAUGCAUUUGUGUAGUAAACAGUUGUGGGUCUUUUUAAUGUUUUCUUUUUGGUGUCUGAAUGAAAUAUUUCUAAGUUAUUUAAAAACCUUUGAAAUUUAAUCCACUGGAAAUACUGCUUUAUCAUAUUUCCUUCUCAGUUCUGAGCUUUCAUGUUUCCAGAAAACUGGAUGACUCUGAAAAGGGACUCUAAACUCUUCGCAGCUCCUCUGGUUUAUGAAUGGCCAUUUUCCAAGACAAAAAGUGAUGCGCUUAAGAUAGGAAUGUAACUUCUAAUGAUAUUAAAAUAUAAAAGAAAAAAUAGUGCUUAAGUGUGAGUUUGGCUGUGGGUCAUUGGAAAUGUGGAAGAAUUUUAGACUUUUCAAUGCAAAUAGACAAGCUGUAUCGUUUCAAGAGGCAUAUGUGGAAACAACACAGAGCAAUGUAGAUAAGCAGUCCAAAUCAUGUGUCAGAUGGCUUUACAACAAUGGAUGACUUUCCCUAGUGCCACUCUGUCUGCAAGGAAUCCUGGAGCACUGCUUGAGAGCUGCCACAAUAUCAAGUUAACUCAUGUUGCUGGCCGCUGCCUAUUAGUCACUACUUUGAGAAGGAACAGCAGCAACAGGAUACUUGAAAAGAAGUACUGCAGCUGAUGAUUUGCAUUAUGAAAAAUGCCAACAUCUGAUCCAUUUUUUAUGUCCUUGAAUAUCUGAUCUUUGGAAAAAUUACAUGUGGAGUUCAGUAUGUUGGGCACUUGCUCCCUGAGUGAUGGAGUCCAGAAUCUGUUUAAGGAUCCCAGCAGCCCACCUCUAUUUCAUAGAAGACAACCCCUUGAGUGACAAAAACCUCUUAGAGGGGAAAAAGAACAUGAACAAUUCUAUUCCAACCAUGUUGGAAGGAGGCCACCUACGUUGUUGCUCUAAGCUGUUCCUGUAGAAUCUGAUUCCCAGGUAAUCUUCAUGUUUAUUUAAGAGAGAGAGAUCAUCCUGCUCUUACACAGAAGCUCUCUUAGCCUUUUGAGGAUGCUCCAGGCUAAUGUAUGGAGCCUAGAGGGUGGAAUUCAUAGUUAGAAAUCUAUUACCUUAUCUCCUAGUGAUUGCUCUGAGCAUCAGAAAUGUAAGAAAGGAAGGGCCCCCCAUCUCCUUCUCAGCUGAUGCUGCUCAGCUCCACACAGAAGAGCAUAUUUCUGCAGAAAGGCAGAAGCAGAGCUGUGAGUCACAAGUGAGUCAAAAGAACAAAAGCUUAGUGGGCAAAGGCUGGCAUUCUUAUGAUAUAAAAUCAGACUUUUGAGAGUUGUCUAUUUAAGUUUAACAUCCUCCAUAAUUCUUAAGUGGGAUUAAGAUGUCCAAAACAAGAUUUCUUCUUCCUUUCAUUAUUACCUACAGACAUUGUUACAGAGUUUACUAUCUGUGUAUGAGUUAGGUACAAGGUGAGGAGUUAUCAUAAGCAGCAAAUUUUCCUUGCUUGCCAAAGCUUACAAUGGAGAGCAGCUUGCCUAUCCCUGUAAUGGACGUACACGUGUAAAAGAUUUUUAAAUGGCAAAUAAUGAGCAGAGCCUUUAUUAUUCAUACCAAAUUAUUAAUUGUUCUUGUACUCUUUUUUUUUUCAGAUGAGUUUUCUGUUUCAAUUCAUUGAAACCUUUUCAUUAAGAGGAAGACAACUGUAAUAAUCUUGAAUAAUAGUAGACAAACCUGCCCCUGUUUCUUUUCUCUUUCUUUCCCAUUCUCUCUUGAUUAGUACAACAGCUAUAGAAAUGUCACUUAAAUACGUUAAAUUCAUUUUGAUCAGAUGAAUGGAUGUAUUUUAGAACCCAAUUUUUGUGUAAGUGCUUAUAUAUGCUGUCUGAGAUAAAGAAGUCAGCAAAGAGCAUCACACUAUUCAAGCGAGAUAUUUUCAGGUAAGUAAGCUGAACUGGUCAUGCACGACAUUGAAUGCUGCUGAGAAAGUCCUCAGCAAACUCUCUUCCUCCUUUUCUCCCCGCAGACAUACAAGUUCUCCGUACAUUACACAUUCAUGUUGGUAAGGAAGCCUUCAAGCCACUGUCACCUAAGCAGCAAUGAGAGUAGGCUCUAGUUAAAAUCCUUUGGCUUUCACAUUGAUAAUGAGCUGUAGGCACUGCUCUGUUGCUCUUGUUAUUUUUGUAAAGCUGUUUGGGAGCUCCCCUUAGAGAAUCUCCCCCAAGAAAAAUAUAUUGUUCUCCUUCCACCCUCUGCACAUCAGUUGUCACAUUCAAAGUUGUGUGCCAACACAGCUCAGCCUUUGUAGUCAGAAAUUCAUUUUCAAACAAUGCAUUCCAAUUCCUAGAUAAACUAGUGCGUGUUAUCCAAACCUCUAAUAUAUGUAAUUUCACAAGGAUCGGCGUAGCCAAGUACACAGAAGCCUAGAGCUGGCAUGUCAAACAAAACGUUCUAUGUUAGAAGUAAAUAUGAUUUCAUUGUGAUUGAAUAAUCAGUGUUUUGAGUGUUACUGUCUGAAGUUUUGCAGUGUAUUUCAAAGCCUAAUUUAAAAAGUACAUGCUAACACUUCCUGAUUGUCUGUAGAGCAGCUGUUUUGUGAGAUUUAAUGGCGAGUGUGAAAACCUAGCUCUGUUUAAGCCAGCUGCAUGAGUCUCUGGAGUUUUUUUGGUUUGGCAGUUUCCCACCUUCUCCUUCAGGAUACAACUUUCUCCUUCACAAUGGGACUUUCGACACCAUUGAUUCCAAUAUCUAGUUAUGUUUUAAUCUUGCAAUGACGUGUCUAUAAAAGGAUCUCUUGACAUUUUUUUCUUGGUUAACUUGGGUCAAGGUCACAUGAACAUGAUGUGGCCUGCUGAUUCUCAUGAUUUCAGUAAGAUCCAGCUGUCUUUCAGGAAAACCUUCCUCAUAAUAAAAAGAUCGUGACAGAGCUGGCUGGUGAACUGGUCAUCUUCUUUUACAGUAGUUGGUAAGUCAAAACAAGACCACAGAAGCCAUAGCUUCACUCAUUACUGAUGUUGGAGCUUAAAUUUGCGACUGCCUGCCCUUGGGUCAGAUGUUUUGUUUUGGGAGGUGUAGGUGUUUUGAUACAAGGCUAAUGAGGCUGAACUCCUUAAUCUCCUGUGAGGCAUAAGUCUCACUCAGAGAUGAUAAAUCUUUGAGCAGACUGUUACCCCACAUUCUGAUUAAUUUACUCUGUAAAGCGUUGCUGUGUGAUAUGGUUUGAGAACCAUUUUCUACCUAAUUCUUUCCUGUGCCUGGCACCAACCUUCCCUUUUUCAAAACAGCAAAAGUAGGCUGGAUCUUUACCUUUCUGUGCUAGGGCAGGGCAGAUGUGUGCAGCACAAAAAGGGACAAGACUCCUCUAAUUAUCCGCAGUAUCAGUUGUUUAUCUUCACUGCCUUUCACCCACUACCCUGCAAAAAAAAGUGUCAUUCUCUCACUAAGCAGUGUGCAGUGCCUACGUUAGUCUUAUUUCAGACAGCAGGGCUUCUCAGGUGGUGUGCAGCAGCAGAUUUGGAGCUGAGUAUGUUUAUUAUAGAUGGACUAUGCACUUUGGGCAAGUGUGAUGAAAAUUCACGACAAGGAGUUAGGAGAUCCUAUUACACAAAGCGCUUCUGUUCCAUUUAAGAUAUAAAUAUAUAUAUAUAUAGUUACCAUGUAUGAUGAUGAUGGUUACUGUCAGAAGUAAUGCUCUCUCCAUCAGGAGUAAGACCACUUUUGAGGAAGAGAAGAAGUGAAAUGACUUAUGCAGUGAGAAGGCUGGUCCUAGACUGGCUGGAAGAAUCUUUCCAUCCCUUUCCUCAGCUGUACAACAAUUUAAUAAACACCUGUUUAACACUGCAGUUUACCCAAUCUGGCUUCAAGACCUUGGACACCUGUACUACACACUGAUGUUGAUAACUACCUGGACAUUGAUUUGAUUAGGACAAAAGCCUACAAAUCCAAGUUGAUAGGUCUUGUACCCUGCACAGAACCCCUGGCUGGAUUGUGCCAAGGCUGGCAUCCCAGUGUCACAAGUGCUGCUGCUGCAUGGCCCUGCUCCCCCCAGCAAGAGCGACAACAUGAUACAUCACAGAAACCUCCAGCAAUGGCAACAUGGAUGACCAGGUGGAAGAUCGAGAGAAAAUGUGAUACGGCAACUUGAAGUCUUCAGUCACAGGUGAAUCCCAGACUGAACUUUCAUGAUCUCUAGAUGCGGAACUUUGGCCAUAUCCCUUCUGUCAAGCUUAUUCAUCUCAUAGCACUGGAUGAAAAACGUACUGAGCCAGCUGCAUCGUUAGUGACUCCUACUCAUAACACUUUGUACUUUGUGACUCAGAAUGACACGCUAAGAUCCUUCUGCCACAGGCCUAAUUGACUGGUAGCAUCCCCUGGAAGGAGUCUGAACCUCAGCUCUCUGCCCCUGUAAGCCUCCAUGGCACCAAGAACACAGGCUGAGGUCGCACCAGCAGUUUCAUACAAGCAGUGCAGAGUGUACGUGCUGUCCAUCUUCUACAUGCUGCAGCUCAGCAGAACAGAGUCCGCUGACCUGUGGAUGGAAGAGAAACCCAAAUGCAUUGUGCACAUGGGAAAUCCUUCUCUUUGGGUGGCCAUCACACCAGCACAGCCAGGUGAGAAAGAGGGGGACAAGAAAAGAAAGAAAAAACACCUAUAACUAUUUAUUUGUCCAGUUCAGACAGGCUGCAUUCAAGGGCAGUGUGCUUAAUUCUAGAUUAUUUUAAUUUGUUCUUCACCCAAGGUUUAAAUAUUCAGUGGUAAGUCAAAUGAAAGUGAAGAACAAUGAGAAAAGAGCCCCACGUUGCAAAGCAGAAAAAUCCUAAUUCAGAUUCUCAGUAGCCAGAAGAGAAGGAGACAUUGCAGGCACUGUCUUUUUGUUGGUCAGUUAUAAAGUGAGGUAACAUUUGUUUAUACUUCUUUGUUUCAUAGAGACUUGCUGAAACAGAUUCCCAAAAUGUUUACUUUUAUUAUUAAACUAGGAUGCUUUUGUGUAAGCUUGCAGAAAUAGUCACAGAAACUGAGAAGUAAAAACGCCUGCUACCACUCAUUGCUUUUGAGUAGUAUAGGAGAAAGUACAUAGGGAGCAGACCUUCGUGCUUAUUGUUGUGAUUAGGCUACAGUAACUAGCAACUAUCUGCUUGCCACAUCAAAAGUAUCUUAUCAUAUAUACCAGCUACAUGUGAGAUAGAAGAUGCUCCUGGCACAGUAAUUUCAGUUAAAGGGAUAAGAACCUCAGACAUUUUUGUACAGACAAGAGGCUGCAUGUGCCAAAUGCCACACUUAAUGGCGGUGACUGUAAGGAACACUCUAAAAUCCUGUUUUAAAUAUAAAUGCUAAGUGCUCCUGCCUUCAGUCCUAGCAUUACCUUGGGGAUUUGUAUCAAGCCCUCUGAAAAGGUAUAAAAUGAAGAUUUGGUGCUAUAAGGAACAUGUAUAUUCAGACAUUUGGUUCUAUAGGUCCUUCAAAGUAACUUUUUCUACAGCAGGUGAAGUCCAUACCUCAGUGAUACUAGCAAAAUGCUUAAUAUUGCCUUCAAGUUCCCAGGAAGAAAUAGGAAGCUAAUGUGCAUGCAGGUAAAAAGAGUUUCAGUGGAUUUCUUCUCUGCAGACAGAUCUGACGCUGACAUUUGCAAAAGGAUGCUAAGGCCUGAGGAGCAUGACUUGGAAAUUAGAUGAGAACAUCAGGAGCUGGGGGGUAGAACUUUUGAAACUCAAAGGAAAAAAAGUCACAAACAGUAUAUUAAUGUCCUUCCCCAAGGUACGAUGUUGUUUUAUCCAGCAUACCUAUUUAGCUCUUUCUAGCCUCUUGUUGUCAUUUGUGGCAGCCUUAACCUUAUUCUCUGAAAUGAUCAUGCACAGAUCAUGCGCUUCCUAUUAAUGCUGCUAAAAAUCUGCCUUGUGAAUUGAAGUGCAUUUAAAGAUUUGUCAAAAAGACAGUCCAGAAAUGUAAUAUUGUGAAUGUGUGGAGGGAGAGCUGUUAGCAGCUGCACCACGGCACCCUUCAUCUUUCAUUCUGGUCAGAGCCAUGUUGUAUGUUUGCAUUUUGCUUCAGUCUCUGCCCAGGAAUAUGGCUAUCGCUAAGGCAGCAGGUUGCAGAUGCUAUUUUCCCCCACCUGACACCAUCCUGUUCAGACAAUAAUGAAAAAGAAAUGCCCGAUGCCCCAGUAUGUUGAAUUGGUUUAAACAGUUGAGUGUAUCCAAAGAAAUGAAAAGUAGCCAAAAAAGCUCUGAAUAUCUUGGGAAACUGUAGAGUUGAAAAAGCUAUAGGUCUUAGGGCAAAACUGAUAUGUCCAUUCACAAAUUACUGUUACCUUAUCCCACUGGCUUGAGGAGAAAUUGUAAGAGCCAAGAAUGUUGGCACCUGGCUGGUAUCGUGUUUCCUCCACCUGCAUUUCGGUGAGCACCACCUGUGCCAAUGUCAGCCACCCCCAGAUGUUUACCUCCCAUCCCACACUGUUGGUGAAAGGUUUCUGGGUAUCCCAAGCAGCCAGAACCAGCCUAGAGGAAGGAGGGGACCUGGGUGCAGGGGAUGACAGAGGCCACCACCAAAUUUUGGCUCAGAACUAUUAAGCCCUGUUCAUUUCCCAGGUUGUGCCAGAGCUGGGGUGCUGCAGCCAGGGGGUUUCUCACAGAAAAAGCCCAGUGCUUUGUUAAGAGAGGGAAGGUAAAGGAGUGGUAUGCUGUGUGCAGUGUUAUGCUGUGUGCAGUGGUUCUGUUCAGAUUCAAAAUCACGGUGUCUCUAUGCCUGGGCUUAUGAGAUUUUUGGAGCUGAAGAGUGCUCUCCUUCUUAGUUUUCUUCUUGCCAUGAUCGCUGGAGACUUUUGGAUGCUGUUUGCACGUCUUUCAUCCCCUCUGCUCCUAAGGGAUUAUUUAGUCCUAACCGCCUGACAUUUACUUGGCUUUGAGUCUUAGAAUGAACAUGAAGCCAGGCGGGGAAAAAUCUUCUGGCAUAAUUUCAUCAUAGACGUGGUGAUGUUAUAGAUUAUCCUAUUUAUUUUCUUUUUCGUAUGAGUAAUAGAGCAGCAAGAGUUUAGAAAAACAGUCCUGGCAAGAAGACUCUCUUUAUGUUAAAUAAUAUUUAAAAAGCAACUUUAAGAGCAGUACUGAAAACAUUGUUCCCUUAACAGCUGCCACAUCUCCGAGGUCAGCUGCUGACCAGUAAGAUAGGAAGUGGAAACGGCUUUGGGUGUAGAAGGAGUUAGCCAACCGGAGGGUUCUGUCACCAUUUGGGGAUUGAAACAAAAUAAUAUUUCAAAUUCUUUAAUAUUAAAAUUCUUCUUUUCUUCCUCUCAGCCAGCUGGUGCAUCACGUUUCUCCAUUUCAUAGCUAAUUCAUAAUGGUUGUAAGAAAAUACUACCAUGGUAAAAGUUCCCUGAGUUGCUACAUAAGCAGAGGCCCAUGAUGAAGGAAUUGGUUUCUGAGUGUUAAGUUUUCCACAGACACGACUGGAUAUGCACUUUGCAGAUGUUUGGAAUACUGGAGUCCACACUCUCUCCUAUAGGGAAGAUCUGUUUAGUCCAAAACGGCUUAGUGUGAAGUUGCCCAAAUUACCUCUGAGUGAAUAUAAAACCUCAUUCAUAUCCUGGAUGCUAUGUACAGAAGCUAUUAAGUGCUUUGUCCAGAACAACCCUCAUUCCAGUGUAAGAUUAUGGAUCUAUAGUGAGAUUUCCCUUGGCUGAGGCAUACGUAGAGUUGAUUUCUACCCAAAAACAGGAAGUAUUGGAAAUUUAAGUAUAAUUCAGAAUUAUCAUUUCUUUGGGGGGUCGGGAGGGGAAGAGGAAAAAAGAGAGAAGUAGAGAAUAAUAAAGAAAGCAGACAAACAAACCCCCAAAGAUACAUUUGUGAGUGUAAAUAUUUUCUGCUUCUCAAGAUGAUGCUUUGAGUGAUAAACUCUCUACUCCAAUCUCUGUAUCUUAAGAAAUUGAUCUAUGUGACUGGGCUGGGAUGAGGCUGGAAGUUGCACAAAGAACUUUCAUGCAUGCAAUUAUCUGUUAAAAAUGUUGCAUUUCCAUUUUUACCUGAAAACAGGCAUCUCAGACUAGUCUCUCUAGCACAUCUGGCUCUGCUUCUUUUGUGCAAAUCUAAUACCGACAUACAGGCUUCAGUAAAUUUCUUUGACACUAAUGAAGGGAAGAAUGAGGUGACUAAUUACUUUUUGGGAAACAGAUACAUUAUAAAUGUGAAAUCCACUGGCUGUCUGAUUGUCCCACCUUGAGCAGUUCUCUUUAGCUAUCAGCCAGCAGUUUACAGGCUUUGUUCACCUCUGGUAGUGCGAAACAGUUUUGUUGCCUGGGAGCACGGUCCUCAGAGCCCAGAGUGAACUAAAUCCUCCAAUAGGUCAGAAACAUUUAUGGCUUAUUAUACAAACAGUGACAAGGAUCAAGUAAUUUGCACUGUGGGUUUUCACACGCUCUGGGGAAAUUGCUGAAAUUAUUAAAAAAUAUGGGAAAUCCUAGCAAGUAAUCCAUCACCUUCACAAAUAUUUUCCUCUUUGCAUCUAAUUCCAUGCAGAUGUGUGAGAGUCCAGGCAACUGUGCUUGUGUUUGAAUCUCUGCUGAAAGGUAUAAUACCGGUCUUGUUGAGCUCUUUAUGUUUAAAAGAAGAGGAAGUUUUCUUUCACCUUGAGGAAACUUUGGGGCAGCAAAGAUGGCACUGUGUAAGACUGGAGUGCUGCGUUAAUACAUUUGGAAGGAAACAGAUCAGCUAAAAGAUAGCAAAACACCGAAAGGUUAGACUAUGAAAAAGGUGGAAGACUUGGACUGUGACUCCAGAGGCCUUUAGGUAUAAAAUUUUUCAAACAUUUCUGUGAAAGCAGCAAAUCCGUAUUAGAUACAGUGACUAUAGCAGAUAAAUUUAGUGUAGAAACAAACUUAAUGUGGUGUUUUUCAGUAUCCUCCAGGAGGAAAGACGACUCCUAUGAAUUACAGAUUCAUGUUCAUUGCUUCUAGGUAAACCUGUAAAAAUGAUCGUCAUAAGUAAAUGUCUAAAACCCUUGGCAGUGGAUAUGAACUGAAAGAGUAAAACAGGCUUUCCUCUGAAGGAAAACUGUACCUCUUUAAAUAUCUUGAUUUUCCUUUUAAUUCACAAAAUGACAGGUAAGUAAUUAGACGAGGCAUGAAACAGGAGGUAAAGUGCUAUCAUGUUUCCCCAGGGUAGUGGACUGGAAAAAGAAGUACCUCUAAAUCUAAGCAUGCCAAAGUGCUAGCUGUGGAAUGAGCCUUGAAGAGAUUGACAGGGAGAUUUGGGGGGGCUCAUUGCUGAGUAAGCCUGAGCCAGCACAGGCACAGCUCCCAGCAGAAGGGAAACUCCGUGGUGUCUCCAGGUCCUGCACUACCAUUCAAACCCUGUUUUGUUCCCUCUCCUGAGGUAGGCUUUAAUUCUACAUGAGCGUUUCAUUUCCAUGGAAAGAUUUAUUGCAUAGAUGAUCAAGCCAGUCUUCACAUAGAAGCAGCAUAUUCCAAUGUAAGUGUCCGACAAGGUUUGUUCUCUGGUGUCAACAAGACUCAAACCUCUCUGUCGCAGACAGAUUUACUGUACUGAUCUCUUUUCCAGAUCCAUAGUUACCUGUUGGUGCCAGGAGUUGUUGUUUCAUUUGCUGGGAAGCUUCCAGAGAGCUCUGCAUUCCUGUCAGACCCAUAGUUCCCUGGCUGGAGAGAGUGGAAUGACACACAGAACCUCAACGAUGCAAGGAACGGGCACUGAGUGAUAUCUGGAAAGUAAUACUGAGAAGUUAACUCAUAUGAAGAAGCAUAUGUGGAUUACAGAAAAGAAAGGAGAUUACAACUCAAUGCCAGGAAGCAGGCUGAUACAACAUAAGAGGAGAUGAAGAGAGAAAAGAAGAUAGAAGGAGGCAAACAUGCCAUUGCUUUGCAGCUGCAGGGGAGAGGAGAAUGUCCUCCUCCACCACAGUUCAGAAGAUGUUCCUCUGAGGUCUGACCUUUCCUGUUUGAUUACAACGUGGGAAGCCACUGCUGAAGCUCAAUAAGCAGAUGGAGCAGCCAUCUCCAAAGCAGCCACAGGCUGCCCUCGAGCUCACAACCAUUCGCAAUCUCUCUACUUAGAGGCCAACCAGCCGUUCUGCUCCAAGCAGCAAGCUUAAGCGGAAGUGCACGAGCAGAGAUUCUUCAUACUCAGAAGGAAUUUCAUGCAGAAGCAGGAGAACAGCCCAAGGAUCACAGCUCAUCCUUCCUUGCUUUUUAGACAAGAACUUUUAAAAUGAAGUGUGGUGCUGCAGUGGAAUCUACCCUGUACUUGGUAUGCAUCGCUUUGAUGAGGGGUGUGCUGAGCUCAAUAUCUUCUAUUCUGUUGGUUUUCUAGAUAUUUCAUGUUUAAUUUCCAAAUAAACAAUUAGUAUGAA